rnacentral:rRNA from 1 species
UACGAAGGGAGCUAGCGUUGUUCGGAAUCACUGGGCGUAAAGCGCACGUAGGCGGAUUUGUCAGUCAGGGGUGAAAUCCCGGGGCUCAACCUCGGAACUGCCUCUGAUACAGCAAGUCUUGAGUUCGAGAGAGGUGGGUGGAAUUCCUAGUGUAGAGGUGAAAUGUGUAGAGAUCGGGAGGAACACCGGUGGCGAAGGCGGGUCUCUGGGCAUCUCCUGACGCUGAGGCGCGAAAGCGUGGGGAGCAAACGGG